ACUUCACUGUGUCCCAGAUGAGGUUUGAAAACCUCCAGCAGGAACUGAAGCAGACCACAGCCCAGGAUGAGAGCCUCCUGCAGAUGGAGCUGCUGAAGCAGAAACACUAUGUCUAGGGCAAGUAAGCCACCAUUGAGCCCGAUCCCCAGCAGCCAGGGUGUUCAUGGGUACCUGUUAAGGACACUUGGAAGGCUGGAAGAAGCCAAAGACACCUUGAAGGCAUGACAUUCUACACUCCAGGUUCAAGGCCUCCUCAGAAAAUGCUACCUCUUUUCAGCUUUGAACUCACUCGUGAGGCAAAUAUCAA